GAAAAGAAAGAAGCAUAAACAGCUAACUGUUUGUGUGUCAAUCAAACCAUAAAUAACUGAUGCGUUCAGACACACAGAAACUUGUCUGCAGACAAGCGCCCAGCCACUUCCCAUUUCUUGGCCAACUAUUGCUGGAAGUAAUGCUGAAAGUCUGAUUUUGAAAGGUUUCGAUGCAGCUUGUGACCUCUAAGUAACAAAUUGCCCUGUCCACCCUGUUCAAUAAACAAGGCAACCAAAAGCUGCAGAGGAAAUAUUUGAGCCAUGAGACCUUGAUGAUAAAGAGAAAGAUAAUAUAUAGACGGUGUAUGUAGAUGAAGCCCACAGUUUAAUUUAAAAAGACGUAAAAAUGGACCUACAAUAUCCUUCAUUUGCAAUUUGGAGAUCCCCACAGCACAACUGUUCACUCAGCAAGUAUAAUGUAUCCUAUCGUCAAAUCAGCUGUCAGCGAUCCUGGGCUGGGCUGGGAAUUCCGAAUGCUUUCUGAGAUCCGGAUCUUUGGGCGCAGAUCACCUUAAAGAACCGGGUCUUCAGGCUCCUGAACUGUUCUUUCUUCUGUACAACACUUUCAUUUAAAGUGAAAGCAAACACAAAGUUCCACAAAAACAAAGAUAAAUUCACUGCUUCAAAUCAAAGACAAAGAACAGGACUAUUUUAACAACAGUGUCCACUGUUUGCCACAGCAGCAUAAGCAACUAUAUGUCUGACUGAUUUGUG